rnacentral:lncRNA from 1 species
GUGAUGACCCUGCUGCCUGCCUCUCUCAGGGGGAUCGCCUUUGCUAACUGUGGGGGGCAGGGCGUAGGGCCCUAAUGGGGGACAGGGCCUCCCGGUGGGGGCUGACCCCUCUGACUUUGUCCCCCCACUCGGAAGCCACCACCCUUGUCGUUUGCCCUCUGAGAGUCCUCCUCCCUCGGGCCGCCCCCUGCCCUCUGUCCCUGGGGCCGUGACAUUGGCAGGGUGCCCAGCGGGGCAAAGACGGCAGCUGCAGGUCCUAGUCCCCAGUACGUGUGUGAGUGUGAAUGCGAGUGGGUUGGGAUGGGGGAGCGGCGGGGCUGGGAUCAUCCGCAGAUCAGAGCUCGGGAGUAGAGAGCUUCUAGCGGGUGGGGCCGCCCUACACGCUGGAGCCCGAGGACCUGCCCCUGGGACCACCACCAACCUCAACACCCCUGGAGGCCAGAGCACGUCGGACAGGCACUGACCAGAGGAGCCUGGGAGGAGCUGCGGGGACAGAUGCCCGUCGUUUGGAGCAAGAGGAGAUGACCUGAGGACCCAUUCCUGGUUCCUGGUACGCUCGCUGCUGCCUGUCACCCUCCUCUGGGCCUUCGACCUCCUCCUGGUGGUGGAGGGCCCCCGUCUCAUGUCCCAUGAGGAGCCUUUGAGGCUGGCAGGACCCCUGACUGCCUACAACCUGGGCCUGAUGGUUCUCUCGGGGCACGUGUUCUAUGAGAAGCCUUGCUUGCAGCCAACAGUCCAUCAGCCGGUGUGCACUGGGCAUGCGCCUUGUGCCAGGCGGGCCGAAUCCACAGGAUGACCGCUGGUUCAUGGCCACCUCGCUCCUGGCCAGCUACAGCUGCUUCUGCCAGCCGGUGAACUACAGCUGGAAGCAAAUGAGCUUCCUGCACGUCUACCACCACAGCACCAUGCUCUUCAGAUAGUGGGCUUGGGUCAAAUAUGUGCCAGGGGUCAAGACAUACCUGAGAGGCAAGUGGGAGAAGCUGACCUACAAGGUGGGGCCAAGGACUGAAACUAGCAGAGCCCUCCCCAUGGAGAGUUUGGUGAAAGAUGAUACGGCCCACAGCCCACCCGUGCUGAGCAGAUUCCUCUGGGCAAGUAUUUCAUCCUAUGAGGAAAGGACAAUAACAAUUCUCGCCGCCUUCCCAGAGUUCAGGAGGACAGAACUGGACCCAGCUUCCUGAACGCACAUCUCAUGUGGAUUUGUCACUAUUUGCACACCUCCUUCCUCUACUAAACGUGAGUCCUGCUGAGGAGGGACUGCACUCUCAGUGGUCCCCACCCCUGGCACAGUAUCUCAAUAAAUGUGCAUUUAGAUCCCUAUAUUCCCCCAUGGGCAGUCAGGGCUGGGAGCAUGGAGGAAGGCAAGGCUGGUUUGAUCUUCCCCUUGCAGGCAGAGAGGAUGGCUGAGAAUAUCUAAUCUAAGGAGUGUGGGUCUGUGUGAUUUCUCUUGGGGCUAUGCCAACAGUUCCCCUGCACAUCUUUCUGUCUGUUCACUAUUACCUAAGGUACAUUUACACAGUUGUAUGAUUCUGUG